rnacentral:lncRNA from 10 species
AUUUUUAGUAGAGAUGGGGAUUCACCGUGUUAGUCAGGGAGGUAGGGCGGUCUCGAUCUCCUGACCUCAUGAUCCGCCUGCCUCAGCCUCCCAAAGUGCUGGGAUUACAGGCGUGAGCCACCGCGUCCGGCCAAGAGGAGGAAGGGAGUUAAAAACAUGUGGGUAUUAGGCACCCAGCCUUCAGGCCGACCUGUUAGGGUUUACAGAGACCAUACACUUGAAACACAGCUGAGAUGCAUGUGAACAUUGCUUUAAGACAUUGGGGCCCUAAUGUCCCACAAGAAAAGGCACAGACAAACUUAGUGAGCAAGAUUAAGUAGAAAAUGAAACCCCCACACUAAGUUUUCACUUUUUCUUUCCUAGCUGUAUAAAUCAGAAGCUGAGUGAAG